UACGGAGGGUGCGAGCGUUGUCCGGAAUUACUGGGCGUAAAGGGUGCGCAGGCCGCGCGGGCAGUCAAAUGUGUAAUCCAGGGGCUCAACCCCUGAACUGCGCUUGAUACUUCCGCGCUCGAGCUUUGGAGAGGAGUCUGGAAUUCUCGGUGUAGCAGUGAAAUGCGUGGAUAUCGAGAAGAACACUUAGGGCGUAGGCAAGACUCUGGACAAAUGCUGACGCUCAUGCACGAAGGCUAGGGUAGCGAACGGG
rnacentral:rRNA from 1 species